GGCGGACGGGUGAGUAAUACCUAGGAAUCUGCCUGAUAGUGGGGGAUAACGUUCGGAAACGGACGCUAAUACCGCAUACGUCCUACGGGAGAAAGCAGGGGACCUUCGGGCCUUGCGCUAUCAGAUGAGCCUAGGUCGGAUUAGCUAGUUGGUGAGGUAAUGGCUCACCAAGGCUACGAUCCGUAACUGGUCUGAGAGGAUGAUCAGUCACACUGGAACUGAGACACGGUCCAGACUCCUACGGGAGGCAGCAGUGGGGAAUAUUGGACAAUGGGCGAAAGCCUGAUCCAGCCAUGCCGCGUGUGUGAAGAAGGUCUUCGGAUUGUAAAGCACUUUAAGUUGGGAGGAAGGGCAUUAACCUAAUACGUUAGUGUUUUGACGUUACCGACAGAAUAAGCACCGGCUAACUCUGUGCCAGCAGCCGCGGUAAUACAGAGGGUGCAAGCGUUAAUCGGAAUUACUGGGCGUAAAGCGCGCGUAGGUGGUUUGUUAAGUUGAAUGUGAAAUCCCCGGGCUCAACCUGGGAACUGCAUCCAAAACUGGCAAGCUAGAGUAUGGUAGAGGGUAGUGGAAUUUCCUGUGUAGCGGUGAAAUGCGUAGAUAUAGGAAGGAACACCAGUGGCGAAGGCGACUACCUGGACUGAUACUGACACUGAGGUGCGAAAAGCGUGGGGAGCAAACAGGAUUAGAUACCCUGGUAGUCCACGCCGUAAACGAUGUCAACUAGCCGUUGGGAGUCUUGAACUCUUAGUGGCGCAGCUAACGCAUUAAGUUGACCGCC
rnacentral:rRNA from 1 species